GGGAGCUUUAAAAUAUACAGAUCCUUGCAUCCCAUGCUCAAAAAACUAAUUCACUGAACCCCAAACUGUAUUUUUUAAAAGUGACUGGGGUAAGGAUUUCUUACAGAGAACAUAAAAAACACUUAUCCAUGAAAGAGAAGCUGAUACACCGUCCUUUAAACUAUAAAUGUCCAUUCAUUAAAAGAGAAUGAAAAGUCAACCAACAGACUGGGAGAAGAUAUUUUCAAUAUAUAUAUUCUACAAAGAUCUAGGACCAGCAUAUAUGAAGACAGUCCUACAAAUCAACAAGAACAAUUAAAAAUCAACAACCGAUUUUUUUUUUUUAGGUAAAAAAAGACACAGACACUUCACCAAUGAAGAUAAAUGAACGACCAUAUACAUAUGAAAAGCUUGACUCAUAACUCAUCAGGGAAAGGUAAAUUAAAACCACAGCGACAUACGAUCACCAGUAGCACUCUGGUAUUCAACAAGCAACUUUCCAGGAAUUAAAGCUUUUCUUUGGCGUCAAUACUCCCAUGAGGGCUGACGUUAAGCCGCCAAAGUGACUUCGCUGAUCGCAUAAUGAGGAAGCGAUGUAGACAAUGGACGUUUACAAGCCACACAGGCUGGUUCCAGCACAUCACUGAGACCACUACACAACUGCCGUGAAGGCUAAAAUGAAAAAGUCUGACCAUACCAAGUGCUGGCUUAGUUGCUAACAUCUAGAAGAAAACAGCUUCUGCUCUCUUUCUUCGUCCAAGAGGACAAGACCUCCUGACCAGAAAUCAAGGCACAGCUGAGGCUGACUGAGCAGAUGCUAUUCCCUGCACUGGAAGGGAGGGCCAGCGUCAGGCAUGACCUUUGCUCCUUGGUGCCGCCUCCUUCACCACCCACCGCCAGCCUGCUCGCCACCUUGGGGCCAUUAGCAUUUUUAAGGUUCUUAUUCCCAUACACAUCCUGCCCUGGGAUUGUCUCUUCCUCGAGGUAUUAGCACCUUCCACUUGCCUUUUAUCACCCCAGCCCCGCCUGCCUGGGGUCAGCCUUCAAUCCACAAGCGUCUGGGGAAGAGCCAGGAAGCCUGCUCACACUCCUUUCACAGUUCAUCCCUUUCCGUCGGAGGCAUGUCCUGAGGUCCCGAGCCCCCUCCCACCUUUUCUCCCUUCCCCCCCACGAGAGGUGUUCCCAUAAUCAGUAGGCAUCAGUCGGCUCUAAUCAACCCCCUGUUUUGACUAUUUUAGCAGCAAUAAAAGGGCCAUAAAGAGAAAGU